rnacentral:rRNA from 1 species
GAUGAGCGCUGACAGAAUGCUUAACACAUGCAAGUCUACUUGAUUCUACUUAGGUAGUUGAUGGUGGCGGACGGGUGAGUAACGCGUAAAGAAUCUGCCCUUUAGUUUGGGAUAACCUUUGGAAACGAAGGCUAAUACCGAAUAUUAUGGAGAUGUCGCAUGACGACUUCAUGAAAGCUAUAUGCGCUAGAGGAGGACUUUGCGUCACAUUAGUUAGUUGGUAGGGUAAUGGCUCACCAAGACCGCGAUGGGUAGCCGGCCUGAGAGGGUGAUCGGACACAAGGGAAAUGAGACACGGUCCUUACUCCUACGAGAGGCAGCAGUGGGGAAUAUUGUACAAUGGACCACAAGUCUGAUCCAGCAAUUCUGUGUGCACGAUGAAGGUCUUCGGAUUGUAAAGUGCUUUCAGUAGGGAAGAAAAAAAUGACGGUACCUACAGAAGAAGCGACGGCUAAAUAUGUGCCAGCCGCCGCGGUAA